rnacentral:rRNA from 1 species
UUUUAACGGCCGCGGUAUUUUGACCGUGCAAAGGUAGCAUAAUCAUUAGUCUUUUAAUAGAGGGCUGGAAUGAAAGGUUUAACGAAACAUUAGCUGUCUCAUAUUUAUAAUUUAAAAUUUAAUUUUUAAGUUAAAAAGCUUAAAUUUUGUUGGAGGACGAGAAGACCCUAUAGAGUUUUAUAUUAGAAAUUUUAAUGGAGGUUUUGUUAAAUAUUUUAAAUUAAUUUUUUUAAUAUUUUGUUGGGGUGACAAAUAAAUAUGAAUAACUUUUUUAUUUUAUAUACAUAAAUUUAUGAAUAUUUGAUCCAUUAUUAUUGAUUAUUAGAUUAAAUUACCUUAGGGAUAACAGCGUAUUCUUUUUUUGGAGUUCAAAUUUACAAAAAGGCUUGCGACCUCGAUGUUGGAUUAAGAUAAUAAUUUGGUGCAGUAGCUAAAUUAAUAGGUCUGUUCGACCUUUAAAUUCUUACAUGAUCUGAGU